GGAUGGGUGGCCGAGCGGUUGAAGGCACCGGUCUUGAAAACCGGCGUGCGUGAGAGCGUACCGUGGGUUCGAAUCCCACCCCAUCCGCCA
rnacentral:tRNA from 1 species